rnacentral:rRNA from 1 species
AGCACGUAGGUGGGUUUGUAAGUCAGACGUGAAAGCCUUCUGUUCAACGGAAGAAUUGCAUCUGAAACUACAAACCUUGAGUGUAGGAGGGGAGAAUGGAACUUCUGGUGGAGCGGUGAAAUGCGUAGAUAUCAGAAGGAACGCCGGCGGCGGAAGCGAUUCUCUGGCCUAUUACUGACACUCAGUGUGCGAAAGCUAGGGGAGCAAACGGGAUUAGAUACCCCGGUAGUCCUAGCCGUAAACGAUGGGCACUAAGUAGAGGGG